rnacentral:rRNA from 1 species
CCUACGGGGGGCAGCAGUGGGGAAUAUUGCACAAUGGGCGCAGGCCUGAUGCAGCCAUGCCGCGUGUGUGAAGAAGGCCUUCGGGUUGUAAAGCACUUUCAGCGGGGAGGAAGGCGUUAAGGUUAAUAACCUUGGCGAUUGACGUUACCCGCAGAAGAAGCACCGGCUAACUCCGUGCCAGCAGCCGCGGUAAUACGGAGGGUGCAAGCGUUAAUCGGAAUUACUGGGCGUAAAGCGCACGCAGGCGGUCUGUCAAGUCGGAUGUGAAAUCCCCGGGCUUAACCUGGGAACUGCAUUCGAAACUGGCAGGCUAGAGUCUUGUAGAGGGGGGUAGAAUUCCAGGUGUAGCGGUGAAAUGCGUAGAGAUCUGGAGGAAUACCGGUGGCGAAGGCGGCCCCCUGGACAAAGACUGACGCUCAGGUGCGAAAGCGUGGGGAGCAAACAGGAUUAGAUACCCGGGUAGUC